rnacentral:rRNA from 1 species
CCUACGGGCGGCAGCAGUGGGGGAUAUUGCACAAUGGGGGGAACCCUGAUGCAGCGACGCCGCGUGGGUGAAGGAGCGUUUCGGCGCGUAAAGCCCUAUUGGCAGGGAAGAUGAUGACGGUAUCUGACCAAGAAGCCCCGGCUAACUCCGUGCCAGCAGCCGCGGUAAUACGGAGGGUGCAAGCGUUAACCGGAUUUACUGGGGGUAAAGGGGGCGCAGGCGGGAAUGCAAGCCAGGAGUGAAAGCCCGGGGCCCAACCCCGGGACUGCACUUGAAACUGCAUGGCUGGAGUACAGGAGAGGCAGGUGGAAUUCCUGGUGUAGCGGUGAAAUGCGUAGAGAUUAGGAGGAACACCGGUGGCGAAGGCGACCUGCUGGACUGUGACUGACGUUGAGGCGCGAAGGCGUGGGGAGCAAACAGGAUUAGAUACCCCUGUAGUC